rnacentral:lncRNA from 1 species
GGGGGAACACCAAGGUUUUGAUACAAAGGUAGCUCUCUGGCUCCUCACUGCCCAAUUCUUGAAUAGCCUCAGAAAAGUAGCCUGAUAAUUAGUAGUCACUGACUUUUAAUGAUCUGAUCUCAUUCUAAUGGCACAACCCCAAAAUCUCAGGCAAGACCAGCAAUUCUCACCUCUCUGUCUUCUUUUAAGUAUGGAAACAAGGGCUGAUGAGAUGGAAGCACUCCUGGAAGCCUGACAAGCUCCACACAGUCCUACAGCGUUCCACCAUGUAAAAUCAGGCCUUCAUUUUGAACUUGGAAAUCUCCUCACUUGCAGGCAGUGGCAAUGCCAGCAAGCCACAGGUGGGCACCACAUGAGCAGGU